GUUUUGUCCUAUAUUUUUUAUUAUGUCUUAAUCCCAGCCUCCGUCCCCGCAUGAGGCCUUUUGGUAGACCGUCAUUGUAAAUAUAAAAUGGUUCUUAACUUGCCUAGUUAAAUGAAAGGUUAAAUAAAUCAAAUCCAAAUACAAGGAUGGUCUUUUAGCGCCCCGUACAGGUCAGGUUAAGGAUGUGCAGAAUGGGAGAGUUCCAGGUGGAUUUAACAUUCAAGACAGUCGCCUGACCCCACACUGAAGACGGCUCGAAAACACAAACCAUCACAAAUAUGAGUUUCUCUGANNNNNNNNNNGAUGUGUGUUUUGUCCUAUAUUUUUUAUUAUGUCUUAAUCCCAGCCUCCGUCCCCGCAUGAGGCCUUUUGGUAGACCGUCAUUGUAAAUAUAAAAUGGUUCUUAACUUGCCUAGUUAAAUGAAAGGUUAAAUAAAUCAAAUCCAAAUACAAGGAUGGUCUUUUAGCGCCCCGUACAGGUCAGGUUAAGGAUGUGCAGAAUGGGAGAGUUCCAGGUGGAUUUAACAUUCAAGACAGUCGCCUGACCCCACACUGAAGACGGCUCGAAAACACAAACCAUCACAAAUAUGAGUUUCUCUGACCUGACUUCUCCCUUCGACGUUUCUGCCAUGAGCGAAGAACAACUCGAGAGUUUGGUUGAACAACUUCAAGAUGCCGUCAGUAAUGUGAACGAGGAACUGAAUAUGACUAAGGAAGAGCGAGAGGCUGUGGACAAGGACGUGAAAAGACGCACUGAAGACCUGAACCGGAGGAUGGUGAUGGCGACGCAGACAGGAGGAGUGGGUGAGGCCCUGUUGGAGCUGGAGCAACUGAGGCUGAGGAGGGCUGAGCUGGUCCAGCAACUGGAGGGGAUUAAUAGGUCACAGGGUAAAGGACCAAAGAAGAAACUGAAGGAUUUAGAUAAAAUUGAUAAGGUGGCGGAGUCUCUAGCAGAGAAGGAGAAGAGUUUGAACCUCCAGUGUCUGACGAUAAGGAAGUCUCUAGCAGAGAUCCAGUCUCGCUGCCUAGAAGAAAAUCAAUCGCUACAAGUGAGUCAAGCCUCUGGUUGGGUGAAGUUGGAAAAGCUGGAGGAAUCUACCAAGCCAGGUCCAAGGAGGGGUCUACAACCACAAGGCCAAACAGCAGACAACAAGCCAACAAAACACAGAAGACAGAAGUGACGAGCUGUUUAGAUACUGUUAGUAGGUAGAACUGUUUACAUUAUUAUUGGUGAAAUCUAGACAUUUUUGUGGUAGACAUUUAGAAAGAUUUGUAUUAGUAGUUUUGAUGGGUUGGGAAUAUAAAUUGAGAAGCCGUGUUAAUAUUAUCUCUGAGGAACUGAAUAUUUUUCAGUGAAAUAUUUACUGUUCAAUAAAUUAAAGUAAUGAAUCAAUGUAUGUUGACUUGUAAUGUAUGGACUUUAAAACUGCCAUGAAAUGGUUUUUACAUUUAUCUAGGGGAACAUUUAUCUAGGGGAAAAGGAAAUAGAAAGGUUUUCUGUUGUGACUCAUCUUCUCGGCUUCCGUCUUGCCAUUUGUUGGGACAGUGUUGCCAGAGAUACGUAUUAACAUUAGAUUCAUAUUAACACCCACUGUUUACGUUGCCAAUGGGCCACGCGGUGCAUUCUGGGUAAACUCAAGACAAAUCUCCUUCAAGGAGUCAAUGGUAGUCAAUGCACGGAGGGACUGGCGCUGAGACACAAGGUAAGAUGGCAGAGAAGAAGAUGGAGUCGGGGAAUGCACAGGGAGAAGAUGGAGUCGGGGAAUGCACAGGGAGAAGAUGGAGUCGGGGAAUGCACAGGGAGAAGAUGGAGUCGGGGAAUGCACAGGGAGAAGAUGGAGUCGGGGAAUGCACAGGGAGAAGAUGGAG
rnacentral:lncRNA from 13 species